rnacentral:lncRNA from 1 species
UAACUUCUCCAUGUGUCAUGUGGGUUGUCCAAUAUCUUGCCAAAUAUCAAAUUCACUUUGUAAAGUAUUCCACAUGGUUUUAUGCUAUCAAAUAGUGCCACAUGUCAUUUUGUUUUAAACUUUUCCCAUGUAGAUGUUGCAUUGGAUGGCUACCACAUGUCACUUUGUUUUAAACUUUGCCUUUUAGUUCUUGCAUUGGAUGGCUACCACAUGUCACUUUGUUUUAAACUUUUUCCUUUUAUAUCUUACAUUAGAUGGCUACCACAUGUCACCUG